UACAGAGGGUGCAAGCGUUGUUCGGAAUUAUUGGGCGUAAAGCGCGUGUAGGCGGCUUUGCAAGUCGAGUGUGAAAUCCCCGAGCUUAACUUGGGAAUUGCGCUCGAAACUACGGCGCUGGAGUAUGGCAGAGGAAGGUGGAAUUCCUGGUGUAGCAGUGAAAUGCGUAGAUAUCAGGAGGAACACCGAUGGCGAAGGCAGGUCUCUGGGCUGACACUGACGCUCAUGCACGAAAGCGUGGGGAGCAAACAGG
rnacentral:rRNA from 1 species